rnacentral:rRNA from 1 species
UACGAAGGGGGGCUAGCGUUGUUCGGAAUUACUGGGCGUAAAGCGCACGUAGGCGGAUAUUUUAAGUCAGGGGUGAAAUCCCAGAGCUCAACUCUGGAACUGCCUUUGAUACUGGGUAUCUUGAGUAUGGAAGAGGUAAGUGGAAUUGCGAGUGUAGAGGUGAAAUUCGUAGAUAUUCGCAGGAACACCAGUGGCGAAGGCGGCUUAC